AUACGAAAGGUGCAAGCGUUGUUCGGAUUUACUGGGCGUAAAGAGAUCGUAGGUGGUUUAUUAAGUCGGAUGUGAAAUCCCGGGGCUCAACCCCGGAACUGCAUUCGAUACUGGUAGACUAGAGUUUGGGAGGGGUAAGCGGAAUUCCGUGUGUAGCAGUGAAAUGCGUAGAUAUACGGAGGAACACCUGAGGCGAAGGCGGCUUACUGGACCAAUACUGACACUGAGGAUCGAAAGCGUGGGUAGCAAACAGGAUUAGAAACCCCAGUAGUCC
rnacentral:rRNA from 1 species